AUGUCGCUCAAAGGCUAUUAUGAAGCCUCGUUGUGUCCGCCGGCCGAGGAUGAUGUGUUUGCGGCGGCGGCGGCUGCGGCAAAGUGGGACUGGGGGGAAGCCCUCCUCGAUCGCGCGGCUUACAUGGUGGAUAAGAAAAACCAUACUUCCGCCCGCUGUCGAUUCAGGAGGGACGUCCUGGACGAGAGGGAGGUGGAAAUGCGGGUCACGUUGUGCCUCGCCCCGCCGCCUCUCGUCUCCUAUUUCUGCUGCCACGCCUACUACACCGACGACAAAGGAGAAGACACCCGUUUGUUCAUCAGGGAGCCGUCCAUGUUUUCCAUGGAGGGUGACCUUGCACUUAUCACCCUCUGCCACGGGAAAUUCCACCCCUCUGCCAUCGACGAGAACAAGGGUUACUAUGAAUACUUUGUGUACCAAGCAGGGAAGGAGGAACUCACCCGGCUCCCGCACCCCGACCCCUGGAUGUUGCCAAAUGAGGGAUCCCACGGCUUCAAUUCCACUUCAAUUGCUGUCGUGCCUUGCAGCAGCAAAAUUUCCACCCGAUGA
rnacentral:rRNA from 1 species